UACGUAGGCAGCAAGCGUUGUUCGGAGUUACUGGGCGUAAAGGGUGCGUAGGCGGUCCUAUAAGUAUGGUGUGAAAUCUCCCGGCUUAACUGGGAGGGUGCGCUAUAGACUGUGGGACUAGAGUGUGGGAGAGGAAAGUGGAAUUCCUGGUGUAGCGGUGAAAUGCGUAGAUAUCAGGAGGAACACCGGCGGUGUAAACGGCUUUCUGGACCGAUAAACUGACGCUGAGGCACGAAAGCGUGGGUAGCAAACAGG
rnacentral:rRNA from 1 species